rnacentral:rRNA from 1 species
GACGAACGCUGGCGGCGUGCUUAACACAUGCAAGUCGAACGGAAAGGCCCUGCUUGCAGGGUACUCGAGUGGCGAACGGGUGAGUAACACGUGGGUGAUCUGCCCUGCACUUCGGGAUAAGCCUGGGAAACUGGGUCUAAUACCGGAUAGGAGCCAUUUUUAGUGUGAUGGUUGGAAAGUUUUUUCGGUGUAGGAUGAGCUCGCGGCCUAUCAGCUUGUUGGUGGGGUAAUGGCCUACCAAGGCGGCGACGGGUAGCCGGCCUGAGAGGGUGGACGGCCACAUUGGGACUGAGAUACGGCCCAGACUCCUACGGGAGGCAGCAGUGGGGAAGAUUGCACAAUGGGCGCAAGCCUGAUGCAGCGACGCCGCGUGGGGGAUGACGGCCUUCGGGUUGUAAACUCCUUUCGCUAGGGAAGAAGCUUUUUGUGACGGUACCUAGAUAAGAAGCACCGGCUAACUACGUG